AGAACGAACGCUGGCGGCAUGCCUAACACAUGCAAGUCGAACGCUUCCGGGGCUUCGGUCGCGGAGGAGUGGCGCACGGGUGAGUAGCGCGUGGGAACCUGCCCUGUUGUGGGGGAUAACCGAGGGAAACUUCGGCUAAUACCGCAUACGCCCCGGGACUUGGUCUUCGGAUUAGGUCUGGGGGGAAAGAUUGAUCGCAGCAGGAGGGGCCCGCGUCGGAUUAGCUGGUUGGUGGGGUAACGGCUCACCAAGGCGAUGAUCCGUAGCUGGUCUGAGAGGAUGAUCAGCCACACUGGGACUGAGACACGGCCCAGACUCCUACGGGAGGCAGCAGUGGGGAAUAUUGGACAAUGGGGGCAACCCUGAUCCAGCAAUGCCGCGUGAGUGAUGAAGGCCUUAGGGUUGUAAAGCUCUUCGCCCGCGACGAUGAUGACGGUAGCGGGAGAAGGAAGCCCCGGCUAACGUUCGCGCCAGCAGCCGCGU
rnacentral:rRNA from 1 species